rnacentral:snRNA from 1 species
AUUGCUUCUCGUACUUUUGGCUUAGAUCAAAGUGUAGUAUAUGUUCUUUUCAGCUUAAUAUAUGAAAGUUCCCUCACCUUCGAGCAUGGGGUACUUACCAUCCUCGUGCUCCUUUAAAGUCAGUUAGACACAAACAUCGAUUGCCAAGGCACAUUAUUUUCCUAGUAAUACUGUAAAUGCUUGAAAAAAUUUAUUACA